AUGCCAUUAAGUGUAUUAUUGGUUUAAUAUUACAGAAGAUUCUCUCUCUCUCUUUCACUCUCCCUAAUGUAUUACAGAGAAAGAGUCAGUGCGGAAGUGGAACUAAGGAAGAACGUAAAGAGAUGCAGCUGGAGCAGUAAACAGGGUCCAGAUCACAAAGGCCUCAUAAAACCAGCGUUGCAUGUGCCUGCUAUUUUCCAUCAGUGAGUAGGACAGAAAAGUUAGAAAGGAGAGGAAAACCAGUGACAGGCAAAGAAAUCAGCCCAGCAGCAAUAAUGUGGCCCACAUCAUCUUCAGUUAUUUUUGAGGAUCAUAUUUUUAAAAAGCCUCCAGAUUCUCCUCUUUUCAGUCCUGAAAGUUGUCAUCAAGUUAUUCCUGAAGUUUGCUUUGGUCAUGUCAUCUUCCUGCUAAAAGCUGAUACAGCUGUCUAUUUGAAGUGGCGAGGAUGCUUGAAUUUUGGUGGAAGGGAAUGCCACAGAACAUAAUUUGUUGCUUUCUGACCAAUAAAA
rnacentral:lncRNA from 1 species